AAGUGUUACAGCUCUUUUAGAAUUUGCAGAGCAGGCUUUCAGGUUUUUGCCAGAAACCACCCCC
ensembl:snRNA U7 U7 small nuclear RNA